rnacentral:tRNA from 1 species
GUGGCUCAGUGUGGAGCACACACUUUCUAUGUGUGAGGCUCUGGGUUUGAUCCCUAGC